rnacentral:lncRNA from 1 species
AUUUUAAAGUAUUUUAUUGGAAUCCUUUUAAUAAAAACAAGUAUUCAUAUUAAAUAAAUCUAAUUGGUCUAAAAGUAUUUAAGCAUCUCAAAAUUUCUGGGCAGUUUCUUUCCUCCAGUAAGUUGACAGCUGCUUGCAUAGAUUAAUGCAGGGAAAUUAGAUGGAAGUUCCUAGGAUCUGCCCAACACCAACCAGAUAGGAGGCAUCCUCUGCAUGAACAAAACCCUGAAAUUUCAUAAAAGAACAUGUAUUAGAACCACGUAGCCAACUGGAAUUAAAACAUGAACCUGGGCAGUUAGGGGAGUCCUCAAUCAGUGGUUUCAAAGAUCCUCAGAGAAAUACUCAUGUUCCAAGAUGGUUAUCAUUACCACUCUGGGGCUGGCAGAAAAACUGGCACUCACCAUAGCAGCCAAGGAAAAAGGACGUGACUCUUCACAGACUGCACUGCAGGUUCGAGUGGCAGGAGCCAUUCCAAGGGUACAGUCAUUUCAAUAGCACUGAUCCAAGAGGAUGAAUUACAAACUUCAGCCCUUCAGUAUCUGAUUAGUACCUAACCUUUGAAAGGGCACCGCCCCAGGUAGGCUUCCAGAAUAAUCAAGCUAGAAAGAUGAAAACAGGACAGACAGCCAAUGGUAAGUACAAGCAAUGUCAAGGCCCCCCUGUUGGGCCCUUCUCAGACUCACUAUCCAGUUCUCCAAAUGAGUCAGAACGUAAUUUUUGACAUCAAGACCAGUGUCAGAGACUCUAGUCUGAGAAAUCAUCAUUCCCAUUUUAAGGAGGGCUGGAUCAGGGGAGGCCAUUCUGAAAGGGUGUAAUGCACUAAAAACAAUUGCAUCAGUAGCAAGGAUGUAGCAAACGAAGAGCACGGACGAGAGAAGUGGGGAGAAUUAAAGGGGGGGAGGAGGGACUUCGCGACACGGACCUCGGAACUGCAAAAAAUACCUCCACCAGAAAAGCUAAGCAUAUAGAAAUAUACAGAAUAUGUUGGCAAAUCGAACCCCAAUAAAAAAAUAUACGUACACAAAAAAUAAAGCAGGUUUAACUAGGCUUAGACAAAAACAUGUAAAGUCAAAAAGGUCUUUUCCAAACAAUUACAAAAGAAAUGUAAGCCAAAAAUAGUCCUUGGAAAAAAAUCACGGGUUACAAUACUUGCAUUGCUGUGCGUGCUCAAGAGAAAGCAAACUCCAUACUGACUGAAUAAAAACAGCUUUGGGGACGAGAUGGUGAGCAGCACUGAGAAAGACCUCACAUCUAAUACAUACCUUGAACCAAGGGUAACAGCGGCGGAAAUCUUCAAGCACCUAAUGGGGAACCAAACAGGGAUUCGUCACUAGUAAAGGUUUCCGGGCCGUCCGCUUUUUCCCCAGCCCAGCGGCCGGGGUUGGUCAGCGCGCUGCGGUGAUGGCGUCAGCGAGACACUCAGAGUCACCGGGGUUCAUCAUCACUCCCGUCCUCCCCCAGGGACUCGGCCGGCCACCCCAUCUCGCACAACCCACUCACCCUGGUAGCGCUGCGGAUCGGCCUGCGAGGACCAGGGGUCUGGGAGGACACCAAAGGUCAGCGGGGGGUGGGCGACGGCAGCCUAACGCCCCCCUCCGCCCUGGGAUGGGUCAGCUCCCAAAAGCGCCGUCACGGGCACAUCAGAAACUCUAGUCUGUAAGGGCAGCUCAUCCUGCUCAACCCGAGGCUGCCGCCCCCUCCCCAGCAGGGCCCCGGUGUAGGAGAGUGGGCGCCGCAUCGAGCCGCCACAGCACCACGGCACGAGAGCAGCCGGACCGACCACCGCACAAAGGG